UCACAACAGGCAUCUGAAUAAGUAAUUUGUCUGGCUCCUUCAGCCCCAUGUUUACUCCCUCAAUUACAGUGAAUAACUAUCUGUGUUGUGCACAGUGUUUUUCAGGAAAGCAGCUUCAGUGAUCUCCAAGUACCCCCAGAAGAUCAAAAUUGGAGAAGAGGCCAAGAAACUGGUGAGGGCAUAGGUGUUGAGAAAUAGGUGUCUUAGACACAGCAGUACAGUACAGCAGUACAGUGCUGUUUAUAGCAGUGCUGGAUUGUAGUUGAUUGACUUGGAAAGCUUAUCUGAUGCUAGCCCAAGAUGUACUCUUAAGGAGCCCACCAUUACUCCUUAAGGUCCAAGGACCUUCCUUGUAUGUUAUUUUCAGAGGUAGACUGGCACUGGCAGCCAAAACAGCCAAGUAUUCCAUCUAAACGUGAAUAGAUUCUCAAAACUGAUAUAGUUUUAGAAACAUAAAGCCCUUUACUUUCAUAUCACAAAGAUAAUUUCACAAAUGCAAAAUAUGCACUUAUUGUACAUUGUUUUAACCAGCAGCCAAAUGCAUUUUUCAGUGACAACACGUUUCUGCAGGCUUUCUCCCGUUACACACAGGUGUUUGGCACAUGCAAGAUAGCAAAUUAGCACGGGUGGUCGCUCUGUCUAAACAUGCACUAUAACAUGGAGAUAUGGCGGUGUGGGAACACUAAACCUAUAAAGGUGUGUAUCAAUUGAAUGUUUUGGUCUAAAAAUAUAUAUAUCUUGCCUUCAUGAAAGAUAAGGUCCUUAUGCUUCUAAGACUGUACUGCAAGCGAUGCGUGUUCAUGUUCAGACUGAGCGUUAGGGCUCUUAACAAAACUCUUCUGUACAGAAGACACCUUCGUCCAAUGACUCUUAAAGGUAAUGUAAUGUAACUGAGAGUCAUGAUCAAGGGCUAAUCUGAUGCCAGCCAAUGCUCACCAGUAAAGUAGUAUAGCAGUACACCAUUAUACUUCCGUUAUACAUUCUAUUGUGUUCAUCUAUUUUAAAUAGGAGAGAGUUGGAAAAGAGAUCACUAAGAAGAUAGAUGAGUUUUUACAAACAGGAACACUCAAGAAGUUGGAAAAGGUGAGUGUUUGAGGAAUGACAUUAUCCUUCAAGCAAGGUGCAGUCUGUCACUUCUUUGUCCAAUGUGGCCACAAUGCAAAGUGCAUAAACGAAAGAAGAUAAUUAUAUUGUUAAUUCCACUCCGUUUGAUGCACAAUGGAUUGUGUUUAUCUUCCCAGAUUCGUAAUGAUGACACUAGCUCAUCCAUCAACUUCCUUACCAGAGUUACUGGUAUUGGGUAUGUCUUCUGCUUUGUUUGUUAAACCCAAUCACUGACCCCUUUUUUUCUAGCCCUUCUUGCGUAAAACUACUGUUCCACAGGAUUUUGUUCCAGCCUUUAUCGAACACACCUAACCAGUUAACUCUCCCUCCUUCUCCAGUCCGGCUCCUGCCAGAAAGUUUUUUGAUGAGGGAGUGAAGACCCUGGAAGAUCUGAGGAAAAUUGAACACACGCUCAAUCAUCAACAUUCAGUCUGCAGGAGCUGGAGUUGCUGGAUGCUGAGUACAUCAGGACCAUCUGUGGAAGCUACAGGAGAAGUGUUGAAUCCAGUGGGGAUAUUGAGAUCUUGCUGACGCACCCAAACUACACCUCUAUGGAUGAGAAACAGGUGACCACCAAACUCCACAAUGCCUACUGCUGCUUUGGUACUGUAAUGAUUAAUAUACACUAAGGUAAGUGGACAUUGGGUAAGUGCAAUCUCCAUUUAAGUGCUUUACAGUUCACCAGUCCAAAUAUAUUCUUCUUAUUUGCCAUGUAUGUCUUCAUGCUUUGGUUUACUGCAUGCAUUCAUGACAGCCCAAGGGCAUUGCAUUCAACAGAAGAUGAUCUCUUAUGACUUUCAUAUGCUCAUCACAUCCUUUCUUUGUUCUUCCUCUUCAAGCCCAAACUUCUCCAUGCCGUGGUUGAACAUUUUGAGUCCAUUGUGUUCAUUACAGACACACUGUUCAAAAAAGACACCAAAUUCAUGGGAGUCUGCCAGCUGCAGCCAAAUGAUGAAGAGGAAUAUCUUCACAGGCACAUUGAUAUCAGGUUAAUUCCUAAGGGCCUGUAUUACUGUGGUGUGCUGUAUUUCACUGUCAGUGACAUCUUCAAUAAGAACAUGAGAACUCCCGCUCUGGAGAAAGGCUUCACCCUCAAUGAGUACACCAUCUAGCCAGUGGGGGUCACUGGUGAGUCACAUAUCAGCAGUCCAAAAUCAACCGCCUCUGCUGUUAGACAUAUUAUGUUUGGUUCUGAAAGGUCCGGAUGGGUGUAAGCUGCAACGAACCCUUCAGAUCCAUGUGUCUAGAGGUGGAUUUUGGAUUAUACACCUGUACCUUAGAUCCAUUUAUGAAUUUCAGUAAAGAGGCAGUUAGGAAAGCAAAGGCUAGCUUUUUCAAACAGAAAUUUGCAUCCUGUAGCACAAACUCCAAUAA